UAUAUCUAUAUAAUUUUGGCCUUCUAUUGACCUUUUUUUGCAUCAAACCAAUUUUAUUUUCUUCUCCAGUCAAUUGGGCCUCGAAAUAGGUACUCGUGAAGGAGAUGGACUGUAGCACCAAUUUUUGUUGUGUUGGCAUGAUUUCUAGAAUAUCGAAAUGGCUCGAAACAAGGAGGGUUUAGUUUUGAUGCUUCAUGUUGGUCGAACAAUGCAAGCUGUGCUGCAAGAAGUCGAAAAGGUGAAAACUCGAGAUUAAACGAUGAAUUGAGGGAAUUUAUGCGAGAAACGAGCUAAAGAUGAAGGCAAACGAAGAAGACAACCAAAGAUGCCGUAGAAAGAAGAUUCAAAA